rnacentral:rRNA from 1 species
AUUGAACGCUGACGGCAUGCCUUACACAUGCAAGUCGAACGGCAGCACGGGUGCUUGCACCUGGUGGCGAGUGGCGAACGGGUGAGUAAUACAUCGGAACGUACCUUAUCGUGGGGGAUAACGCAGCGAAAGCUGUGCUAAUGCCGCAUACGCCCUGAGGGGGAAAGCGGGGGAUCGCAAGACCUCGCGCGAUUAGAGCGGCCGAUGCCUGAUUAGCUAGUUGGUGGGGUAAAAGCCCACCAAGGCGACGAUCAGUAGCUGGUCUGAGAGGACGAUCAGCCACACUGGGACUGAGACACGGCCCAGACUCCUACGGGAGGCAGCAGUGGGGAAUUUUGGACAAUGGGGGCAACCCUGAUCCAGCAAUGCCGCGUGAGUGAAGAAGGCCUUCGGGUUGUAAAGCUCUUUUGUCAGGGAAGAAACACCGGCUCUAACACAGUCCGGGAAUGACGGUACCUGAAGAAUAAGCACCGGCUAACUACGUGUCAGCAGCCGCGGUAA